CAAUAGCGUAUAUUAAAGUUGUUGCGGUUGAAAAGCUCGUAGUUGGAUUUCUGUUGAGGUCGGGCGGUGUACGCUUCGCGUAUUAUUUGCUUCGGUCUCGGCAUCCUCUUGGGGAACGUUCGGGACUUUAUUGGACCGGCGGAAUUCAAGACUUUUACUUUGAGGAAAUUAGAGUGUUCACGGCAGGCAAGUGCUUUGAAUACAUUAGCAUGGAAUAAUAAUAUAGGACCUUCGUUCUAUUUUGUUGGUUUCUAGAACUUAGGUAAUGAUUAAUAGGGACAAUUGGGGGCAUUCGUAUUAACGCGUCAGAGGUGGAAUUCUUGGAUUGCGUUACGACGAACUACUGCGAAAGCAUUUGCCAAAGAUGUUUUCAUUGAUCAAGAACGAAAGUAUGGGGAUCGAAGAUGAUUAGAUACCA
rnacentral:rRNA from 1 species